AUUGAAUGUUAUCAUCAGUUUCUUCAACUCAACCGUUCUCUUCAAUGCACUAAUUAGAUUCUUCAAUACAAUUGUUCCUCUGCUCAUCCCAAAUCAUCCCUUGUUUCACUAAUUAAUUCAUCCCCUCCCAUUUCUACCCCUGCUCUCUCUUCAUCACUCAACACACGCCUGCGACCUCAUCAAUUAUCACUUGCAAGACCUCAAUUCGAUUCAUGAGUUUAAUUUUCAAUCAAGCGAAUGUCCAAAUUAAAAUCGUUGAAACCGUCGUCUCUUUGUUUCCCUCUGAAUUGAACGAGUGGGAGGUUAGAAGUAGGGAGAGAGAGAGAAGUAGGGAAGCAGCUGUUGGUUUCUAAAGCAAUCGAUGGAAACGGAUGUUUCCUCUGGCCAACGGAAUCUUGAUUUCGUCGUUUGGUUUCAUCCCGCUGUUGAAGUUUCACUUAAACAACACGAUUUGACAGGGUUGAAAUUUACAAGUACCGUUAUCCUGCAGAUCAAGUUCUUACUUUCCCCAAAUUUUUUGUCUACUUUUUGUUGACACAGAUUCUAUGAAGAAAAUAACUUGUAUAUGAUUUAGUUUUAUCUAAUUCUUACUUUUCUAUAUAUGUUUUUGUGUGUAUUGAUGCAGGGUUAUUUAAAUAGAUUCUUUUGUACUGAUAUUGCAAUUAUACUAGGGCUUGGUUCAGAUGCUAUCUCAGACAAGCUAGAUUCAUUGCGAAAAAGGGAAUAGUUAAGUGAUUGAAAACAACCACAUACUCUUUCUUGGAUGGAGUGACAAAUUGUUUAGAUUUUAGUUGUUUUGUGCGUUUCCUUUAUUAUGAAGUUUGAUUUACAUUUUAGCUUGUUUGGGUUAUAUGGUUCACUUUUAAAGCAGCCGGCAAUAGCAAAUAAGAGCAUUGGUGGCGUUGUUGUUGUUGUUGUUGUUAUUAUGGUUGAGAGAGAUAUAGAGGAGAUGGAUAUAGUAAAACUUGAUUUUUGAUUCAUAGGCACUUUAGUUAUAUGCAGAAGUAGUUUUGGUUUCGAAGGCACGGGCUAUAAUUGUACUCGCAGCAGAUGAAAAUGUAGAUCAGGUUAAUUGUAGGCGUAUAUACCAAGUUAUAUGGAGAAAAUGAUCAAAGGGUUAGAAUGGACAUGUGCCCUCUAGCUUACGCAAAGUGCGCAAAAGGUGCCUUAUGUCCCAAAAGGUCUUGAAAUGAUUAAGUGCACUUGGAGUUGUUGAAUUAUUAGCUGAAGUUUGUUCAGAAAGUGGUGCAAUGGAUCCCUUAAUGGAUUCAUAUAUUGAGAGAAUGCAAGCAACAAGGCAUAUAUCCUUGAGCCCGGAUCGCAAACUCAUAGCUGUAGUUGGGGAUCAUCUUAAUGGAUUGCUUGUACACUCUUCAAGUGGAAAGGCGGGAACUUAGGGCUGCCACAGUGGAAGGCCACCUAGACUACUCGUUUGCAUCCGCAUGGCAUUAAGACAAGACUUGUAGGCUAUGGGAUAUAAGAAAUCUUGCAACCCCAGUCUCGGUUCUUAAAGGCAACAUGGCCGUGGUUCGAUCGGUUCGUUUUUUCAUCAGACGGGCAGUUUUUAGUGGUUGCAGAAGCUGCGGAUUUUGUUCAUGUCUGCAAAACCAAGCUAAACUAUGAAGAACGACAAGAGAUUGAUUUAUUUGGGGAGAUGGCUGGUGUCUCUCUUAGUCCUAAUGAUGAAACGCUUUACAUUGGCGUGUCGAACUGGAUUUAUUCGAGCUUGCUACAGUACAACAAACGACAUAGGUAUGGGUAUCUUGAUUCGUUUGUCUAAUAAAGUAAGUCGACUUGUUUGUUGGAAGAGACCAAGUAUCAUAUAAGACUUCCAUAAA